rnacentral:rRNA from 1 species
AUGGGUUACCGCAACUUCCGCCUUCUCAUCGACCAGGGCAUCAUUCCCCUCAAAGAUGAAGAGCAACUGACAAACGGGUUCAUGGACAUGCCGGUGGACUGGGCGCUUGGGAUGAGCAAGCACAUGCGGCUGAAAGACUUCCCAACCAUUCUCCGCAUGACAGACCGCGACGACAUCGCGCUGAACUUCAAGCUACACCAUAGGGAGCGUGCGGAGGCCGCGGAUGCGGUCAUCAUCAACACAAUGGACGAGCUCGAGCAGCCAGCGCUCGACGCGAUGCGCGCCAUCAUACCGGCCAUCUACACCAUCGGUCCGCUCAACUCCCUCACCGGCCAAAUCGUCCCCUGCAUGGACCCCCUGCACAAGGUAGGCUCCAGCCUCCGGAAAGAAGACCACAUCUGCGUGCAGUGGCUCGACGGCAGGAAGCCCCGUUCCAUGGUGUACAUGAACUUCGGGAGUGUAACUAUCAUGAGCAAUCAUGAGCUGGUGGAGUUCGCGUGGGGGCUGGCCAACAGCGGCCAGAACUUCCUCUGGAUCAUUAGGCCGUACAUCGUGAAGAGCGAGGCCGCGGUGCUGCCCCCUAAGUUCUUGGAGGCCACCAAAGACAGGGGACUCCUGGCGAGCUGGUGCGACCAAGAGGCGGUGUUGAGGCACGAUGCCCUAUGUGUGUUCCUGACGCACUACAGGUGGAACUCGACGAUGGAGGGCCUCUGCGGUGGCGUACCGAUGCUGUGUUGGCCGUUCUUCGCCGAGCAGCAGACCAACUGCCUAUACAAGUGCCUCGAGUGGGGGGUGGGCAUGGAGAUCGGUGACGACGUGCGGCGGGAGGUGGUCAACGAGAGGAUCAAGGAGGCGGUGGGUGGGGAGAAGGGUAGGGAGAUGAAGAAGAGAGCGGCAGAGUGGAGGGAGGUAGCUAUUAGAUCCAAGGUGACAUCGUUGAAUAAUCUUGACUCACUCAUCAAUGAUGUGUUACUAUCCGGUAAAAAGACAGUUAGCAGUUCUUCUUAA